UUCGGUGGGGAUUAGUGGCGAACGGGUGAGUAACACGUGGGCAAUCUGCCCUGCACUCUGGGACAAGCCCUGGAAACGGGGUCUAAUACCGGAUACUGACCCUCACGGGCAUCUGUGAGGUUCGAAAGCUCCGGCGGUGCAGGAUGAGCCCGCGGCCUAUCAGCUUGUUGGUGAGGUAAUGGCUCACCAAGGCGACGACGGGUAGCCGGCCUGAGAGGGCGACCGGCCACACUGGGACUGAGACACGGCCCAGACUCCUACGGGAGGCAGCAGUGGGGAAUAUUGCACAAUGGGCGAAAGCCUGAUGCAGCGACGCCGCGUGAGGGAUGACGGCCUUCGGGUUGUAAACCUCUUUCAGCAGGGAAGAAGCGAAAGUGACGGUACCUGCAGAAGAAGCGCCGGCUAACUACGUGCCAGCAGCCGCGGUAAUACGUAGGGCGCGAGCGUUGUCCGGAAUUAUUGGGCGUAAAGAGCUCGUAGGCGGCUUGUCGCGUCGGUUGUGAAAGCCCGGGGCUUAACCCCGGGUCUGCAGUCGAUACGGGCAGGCUAGAGUUCGGUAGGGGAGAUCGGAAUUCCUGGUGUAGCGGUGAAAUGCGCAGAUAUCAGGAGGAACACCGGUGGCGAAGGCGGAUCUCUGGGCCGAUACUGACGCUGAGGAGCGAAAGCGUGGGGAGCGAACAGGAUUAGAUACCCUGGUAGUCCACGCCGUAAACGGUGGGCACUAGGUGUGGGC
rnacentral:rRNA from 1 species